AAUAGAUACCCAGGUAGUCCAUGCCGUAAACGAUGUCUACUAGCCGUUGGGGCCUUUGAGGCUUUAGUGGCGCAGCUAACGCGAUAAGUAGACCGCCUGGGGAGUACGGUCGCAAGACUAAAACUCAAAUGAAUUGACGGGGGCCCGCACAAGCGGUGGAGCAUGUGGUUUAAUUCGAUGCAACGCGAAGAACCUUACCUGGUCUUGACAUAGUAAGAACUUUCCAGAGAUGGAUUGGUGCCUUCGGGAACUUACAUACAGGUGCUGCAUGGCUGUCGUCAGCUCGUGUCGUGAGAUGUUGGGUUAAGUCCCGCAACGAGCGCAACCCUUUUCCUUAUUUGCCCAGCGGGUUAAGCCGGGAACUUUAAGGAUACUGCCAGUGACAAACUGGAGGAAGGCGGGGACGACGUCAAGUCAUCAUGGCCCUUACGACCAGGGCUACACACGUGCUACAAUGGUCGGUACAAAGGGUUGCUACCGUAGCGAUAGGAUGCUAAUCUCAAAAAGCCGAUCGUAGUCCGGAUUGGAGUCUGCAACUCGACU
rnacentral:rRNA from 1 species